GAGAGGUUACAGGAGCUAAAAUCACAUUAGUCAGGAAGGUACAUUGCCCAGGGUAUUAAGAAAAGGGAGAAAAGGGGUGUGAAGAGAGGUUACAGGAGCUAAAAUCACAUUAGUCAGGAAGGUACAUUGCCCAGGGUACUAAAGAAAAGGGAGAAAAGGGGUGUGAAGAGAGGUUACAGGAGCUAAAAUCACAUUAGUCAGGAAGGUACAUUGCCCAGGGUACUAAAGAAAAUGGAGAAAAGGGUGGGAAGAGAGGUUACAGGAGCUAAAAUCACAUUAGUCAGGAAGAUACAUUGCCCAGGGUACUAAAAAAGUGAGAAAAGGGGUGUGAAGAGAGGUUACAGGAGCUAAAAUCACAUUAGUCAGGAAGGUACAUUGCCCAGGGUACUAAAGAAAAUGGAGAAAAGGGUGUGAAGAGAGGUUACAGGAGCUAAAAUCACAUUAGUCAGGAAGGUACAUUGCCCAGGGUACUUAAGAAAAGGGGAAAAAGGGGUGCGAAGAGAGGUUACAGGAGCUAAAAUCACAUUUGUUAGGAAGGUAUAUUGCCCCGGGUACUAAAGAAAAGGGAAAAAAUGGGUGUGAAGAGAGGUUACAGGAGCUAAAAUCACAUUAGUCAGGAAGGUACAUUGCCCAGGGUACUAAAGAAAAGGGAGAAAAGGGGUGUGAAGAGAGGUUACAGGAGCUAAAAUCACAUUAGUCAGGAAGGUACAUUGCCCAGGGUACUAAAGAAAAGGGGAAAAGGGGUGUGAACAGAGGUUACAGGAGCUAAAAUCACAUUAGUCAGGAAGGUACAUUGCCCAGGGUACUAAAGAAAAUGGAGAAAGGGGUGUGAAGAGAUGUUAAAGGAGAUAAAAUCACAAUAGUCAGGAAGGUACAUUGCCCAGGGUACUAAAGAAAAGGGGAAAAGGGGUGUGAAGAGAGGUUACAGGAGCUAAAAUCACAUUAGUCAGGAAGGUACAUUGCCCAGGGUACUAAAGAAAAGGGAGAAAAGGGGUGUGAAGAGAGGUUACAGGAGCUAAAAUCACAUUAGUCAGGAAGGUACAUUGCCCAGGGUACUAAAGAAAAGGGAGAAAAGGGGUGUGAAGAGAGGUUACAGGAGCUAAAAUCACAUUAGUCAGGAAGGUACAUUGCCCAGGGUACUAAAGAAAAGGGAGAAAAGGGGUGUGAAGAGAGGUUACAGGAGCUAAAAUCACAUUAGUCAGGAAGGUACAUUGCCCAGGGUACUAAAGAAAAGGGAGAAAAGGGUGUGAAGAGAGGUUACAGGAGCUAAAAUCACAUUAGUCAGGAAGGUACAUUGCCCAGGGUACUAAAGAAAAGGGAGAAAAGGGGUGUGAAGAGAGGUUACAGGAGCUAAAAUCACAUUAGUCAGGAAGGUACAUUGCCCAGGGUACUAAAGAAAAGGGAGAAAAGGGGUGUGAAGAGAGGUUACAGGAGCUAAAAUCACAUUAGUCAGGAAGGUACAUUGCCCAGGGUACUAAAGAAAAGGGAGAAAAGGGGUGUGAAGAGAGGUUACAGGAGCUAAAAUCACAUUAGUCAGGAAGGUACAUUGCCCAGGGUACUAAAGAAAAGGGAGAAAAGGGUGUGAAGAGAGGUUACAGGAGCUAAAAUCACAUUAGUCAGGAAGGUACAUUGCCCAGGGUACUAAAGAAAAGGGAGAAAAGGGGUGUGAAGAGAGGUUACAGGAGCUAAAAUCACAUUAGUCAGGAAGGUACAUUGCCCAGGGUACUAAAGAAAAGGGAAAAGGGGUGUGAAGAGAGGUUACAGGAGCUAAAAUCACAUUAGUCAGGAAGGUACAUUGCCCAGGGUACUAAAGAAAAGGGAAAAGGGGUGUGAAGAGAGGUUACAGGAGCUAAAAUCACAUUAGUCAGGAAGGUACAUUGCCCAGGGUACUAAAGAAAAGGGGAAAAGGGGUGUGAAGAGAGGUUACAGGAGCUAAAAUCACAUUAGUCAGGAAGGUACAUUGCCCAGGGUACUAAAGAAAAGGGAGAAAAGGGGUGUGAAGAGAGGUUACAGGAGCUAAAAUCACAUUAGUCAGGAAGGUACAUUGCCCAGGGUACUAAAGAAAAGGGGAAAAGGGGUGUGAAGAGAGGUUACAGGAGCUAAAAUCACAUUAGUCAGGAAGGUACAUUGCCCAGGGUACUAAAGAAAAGGGAGAAAAGGGGUGUGAAGAGAGGUUACAGGAGCUAAAAUCACAUUAGUCAGGAAGGUACAUUGCCCAGGGUACUAA